rnacentral:tRNA from 1 species
GCCGAAGUGGCGGAACUGGUAGACGCGCACGGCUUAGAACCGUGUGGAGCAAUCUAUGUGGGUUCGAGUCCCACCUUCGGCACCG